rnacentral:lncRNA from 1 species
AAUCAGUGUCACUAGGACAGUACAAAAGAAUUACGAUUGUUGGGCAACACAAGUGGGCUUAGAGACAUAUGGUCAAAACUGGGAAGAUAUAGCCUGAUCACCUAUAUUAUCCGAGGGUUGACUAGCAUGUGCCUAAGUUUAAGUGUGUGGUUGCAACAAUGCUAAAAUCUUACCAACCCUACCACAAUGAGAACAAUAGAACAUAACAUUAAAAUUAAAAUACUAUAGGAGUAUUUGGUGUUACUAUAAGUACUUUAUACUUGAGAACUAAAACGGGAUCUUCAUUACUAAGUUGAUAGUUGCUAAGUGGAUACACUAAGGCUAUAUGUAAUUAGGAUGUUAUAGACUUAGAAUCUGUGGAAAUUUUACUUUACCCCUAUUCUGUGUGAAUUUGGAGUUAAGAUCACUUAUUCGAAGGCCUAUCCUGUUUAGAUUACACAUAGCUGGUAUGCACUUCACAAAUAGCGAUGUAACUAAUGAAGGUUUUCUAAAUAAUUAUCUAGAUAGUUCGUCUAAUAAUUAUUCUCUUACCCUAAAUUCUCGCAUAGAAAACAUAGAUGGACUCCAUCCCCUCGGCAACCAUUAUCUUCCGAAUGAAGUCAUAGCUGGUUGGUUUAGAGAAGAACCAGAUAAUGAUCAUCCUAUCCCUUUGAAUGAUCACCAUGAUGAAAACCCUUCGGACGAUGCUAACUCCGAACCAGAGGUUGAGAACCUACCCUAAGCAGCUCCCUUUCCAAUUCCUAACCCUCGUCCGGCUUUUCAUGGCCCAACGCCUGAGUGGGUGGAAUGUUCAAAAACAUGGAGCCAAGGACAAGAUCAGCCCAUGCCAUUUAAUGGAGACCGAAGCUUUUACGACCUGAGCAAUGGGGGCUCAGCAGAUAGAGUCUUGCCAAUCUUGGUCCGCAGAGAGGCCCGAAAUGAGAUUUAAGGUAGGACAGCCCUACAUCAGAUUACCGAAGUUGUCGCCUAUGCUAGAAUGCAUACUCUCUGCACCAUUUGUCUAGAAGAUGCUCGUGACAGAUUUGAGAGAAUCCAUGAGAUCCUGCUGCAAGCACUGGCUGAAUCACGAGCCGAAGUCAUAGAGCUCCGAGUACGCCAGAGGGUGUACGAAAGACACCUACUUGAUGUGGAACGUCAACUGGCUAAACUGAGAGUUCACCAGAGGGAUGACCCUCGCCGGUAGAAGACGCUUUACUUUAUUUUUUCUUGUUAACAGGAAUCGUUUUCUGUCUACGCCCGAUGUGGCAUUUUCUAUGAAAUUAUCUUGUAUCGUAAGUACUUUUGGUUAGAUCUCUAGGCUGUCAAGAACUAUCUUCUCCGGAUAUGAUGUAAGACCUUUACAAGGUCAUUUUCCCAAACUUUUACGUCAUGAAUGUCAAAGAUAUCGAUAGUCGGCUAACUUCUGUGUCAUUCUUUAUUAAAGUACUCUUAUCAUACUUUUAUUGGAGUCUAUCUGAAUCAUGCUUUAGUCAAGUCAUUGGACUAUAGUAAAUUAGCUCCGGAGACAUUCCAAGUCUCUUUUAGUGGUUGGAUCUUGUUAUUCACCAUCCCACGAUACCUCGACUUGAACGACAAACGUCUUGAGACCAUUCUACAAACUCACUUCCAUUCUGUACUAGGACUGCAUCAUAGGGAUGUAGGUCAAACCUUUGUGAUCAUACUUCCAAUCCGUGCUAGGACUGCAUCAUAGGGAUGUAGGUCAAACUUUCGAGAACAUAGUCGUACUCUUUUACAUGAAACAUCUAAGUACAUCAAGGGUCAACCAGAAUUGCUCAAAAAAUCCUUAUCUUUCGUGUAACAGAAUCAUGUCGUCACCCGGAAACAAUCAGUUGAACAGCGAGACCUCUGCCUUUACUAUGGACGCCGCUACCUUCCAAACAGCAGUUACAACUGUCGUGGUAGCUGCCGUAACCGUUGUCCUUGCUCACCGUGGCACUAUCAGCACAAUCAAUAGUAUUGAUGGGAAUGAAGUUUCCAAUCGUGGUAUCCAUCCAGGAAGUCAUCGAACGGUAACGGCCACAGGCCCGCAAAGCCAAAAAUCAAAGAACAAGAAACGGAAGCGUCAAGCCCAGAAAGAACGCAAGAAACCUGAAAACUUGCCAUGCAACAACAAGUGGAAACCUCUGCCAUCCCCGUACCGAGCAGACCAUACAAAGGAACACUCCCGAAGUGCGACCGGUGCAACUACCACCACGAGGGAAUGUGUCGAGCCUUGCAAUGCGAUAAUUGCAACAAGAUGGGGCACAUUGCUUGUUUCUGUAGAACUACCUCCGCCACUGGGGCAAGCCUAGCUUGUUAUAAUUGUGGUGAGUUUGGGCACUAUAAAAGAGAUUGCCCGAAAAAGGAAUUCAAGGAAAGAACCUGCGUCUCCAUAACUCCUACUAAACACUUCACUUCCACCACCAAUGUGGGUGCAGUCCAUAUAUGUCACCAAUGCGGUGAAAUUGGACAACUCAAGAAGGAUUGCCCGAUAGCAAAGAACUCGGGUGCAGAUGUGAAGAUUCUUAGGAUCACAGCUGCAGGGGAACCUACUCCGGAACCUUCGUUAAUGUAAUUUAGGCGUUUCGUAGUAACAGACUUAUAAACUAUCCAGAACUAGUGCAACUAGGGUCUUACCUUUUGCGAGAUCCUGUCUUUAUAGGGAUGCUCGUGCUGCGUAUACUUGUCUUUUGCAGUAUAUCUUAUUCGCAGCAAUGGCCUUGUUGUAAAUCUAAAGUACUGUAACUCUGUUCAUGGUUGCACGGUUGUGUUUUGUCCGUAAACGUCUUAUGUUCAAAUCUAAUGUCUUUAAGUUUCUGUAUCAUUCCGACAUUAUCAUACAACUAGAUUCAAUUUGAUCGACACCAUACCAGCCUCAUACGUACAUAUCUUUCUUCUAGAUCGCUUUUCCAGCGAAGCCGACAUAUCAAAACACCAAAGUACUCAUGCCAGGAGUACCUCUUAGAUAUUUUCUUUCCGAAGAAAUCCCCAAAGUACCACUCGUGCAGUACGUCAAGUUCAAUCCAAGGAUUCAUACGAUUAAUCUAUCACUGAGGAAUGUAUACAUAAGAGUGAUAUAUAAUCAAGGUUCUACAGGUUUAGAAUUGAUGAUUCCACUUUAACUUCUUUUUCCCCGUUGGGAUGUGAGCUUAAAGAAGAAUCAGUUAUUCGACUACCUUUUCAAUCUUAAUUACAUACGACUCAUAUACACGAGAUUGUGAUUGUGAAAACAUGUAUGAAUUCUAAUAUGAACUUCAGGACGGAGAACUGCCUAAGCCUACGAGUAAUCGCAUCGUCAUGUGAACAAACUUAGAACCCAGUACGACUUUUGUAAACAGAUCGCCCUAUAGUCUAAACACCUAUGGAAAUACCAGAACAGUACAGACAACUUAGCGAACCACACAGAAAUAGAAUUAGAAGACUAGGCUUCCUACCCUAGUGAACCCCAGUCUUAUUCUUCCAGAGAUCGACGGAUUGCAUCGUAUGUGCCUCGGAUAUCAAGGACUCCGUCAAGAUUUUCAUUAGAAAUCGUUAUCUCUGCCUCGCAUAGAUGAAACGGUUGAGCAAACGCAAGGAAAGAAUUACUUUCAGAAAUGGAUCGGAGAUCCGAAAUCACCAUUUCGAGUGUUAGGGAAGGAUGUCCGGAAGAUUAUCUUCCGAACUCGAUGCGGACACUUCGAAUCCGUAGUGAUACCCUUCAGAUAGGACCAAUACGCCCAUAGCUUUCAUGAGCUAAACGAAUAGGUAAGAAGGAACCCAUGGAAACAUUACCUUCAGAGAAACUUUUCACAAAGUUCUAUGAACUCGAGUUUUGGAAUUGAAGAGUCAAAAAUUCCUAAAGACACACUAUUAGUGAUGUGGAAAUUCUUGAGUACUCAGGAAAAUUAUCCGAAAUUGUUGAGAGUUUGUCAACACCGGAGACAGAAAUUCGCCAAAUUCUAGGUCUUACAUACCUACUGUCAUAGUUCAUCCAGAACUCCUCGUGAAUCACAGAAACCCUUUCGACUUUGACCCAUCAAGGGGUGGCCCUUGACUGGGAAGUUAAACAAGAAAAAGAAACCUUGGAGAUUCCAAGUGAGUGACCAAGUUCUUUAGGGGAACUCACUCUGGGAAUGGCUUAAUACGCUUCGUAUCGCGUGGAAAGCUAAAUCCAAUAUAGUUAGGACCUCCGAGAUUCUUAUCAGAAUCGGUCCUGUGCCUCGCUCAAACUAGACCUACUCCGUGAACUCAGUAGCGUACAUUCUACUCUUCGCGUCUCGAUCGUGAAACCGUAUCUUUCCGUUAGGACUCUUGUAAGUCCACUCGUCGAGAUCCAUGCCUUUGUAUUUUAACCGUAGUGACCCUCGACCGAGAGGUCAAGCGCACGAAGCAUCGCCACCUCCCAUUAGUUCAGGUUCGUUGUGAUACCAACCAAGAACCCGAUUUCACUUAGGAGCGCUAGAACCAAUCGAUUAGAAAGUUUGCUCCUGAUGACUCGAUCAUUCGUACCUACUUCCUUGUCUAAAUUCUAAUUUNNNNNNNNNNNNNNNNNNNNNNNNNNNNNNNNNNNNNNNNNNNNNNNNNNNNNNNNNNNNNNNNNNNNNNNNNNNNNNNNNNNNNNNNNNNNNNNNNNNNCUAACCCUCGUCCGGCUUUUCAUGGCCCAACGCCUGAGUGGGUGGCAUGUUCAAAAACAUGGAGCCAAGGACAAGAUCAACCCAUGCCAUUUAAUGGAGACCAAAGCUUUUACGACCUGAGCAAUGGGGGCUUAGCAGAUAGAGUCUUGCGAAUCUUGGUCCGCAGAGAGGCCCGAAAUGAGAUUUAAGGUAGGACAGCCCUACAUCUGAUUACUGAAGUUGUCGCCUAUGCUAGAAUGCAUACCCUCUGCACCAUUCGUCUAGAAGAUGCUCGCGACAGAUCUGAGAGAAUCC